rnacentral:lncRNA from 1 species
GACUCUUCAAGAUCACAACUAUUCAACAGAGACAUCUUAUUCACCGAGCAUGAUAGGGGGUGUGCACUUUGCUUCAACCAGGAGGAAGACAUUUCACAUUUGAUGUUCCAGUGUGACUGUUCCAAGCGGAUAUGGCGGGAAAUUAGCUUAUGGCUUGAUAUUGAUAUGGUGGAAUUAGCAUACAGCAGGUAGAAUUUCAUAACAUCACUCAACCUUCUCAAAGGCAAGGAGUAAAUAGCUAACUCGAUGAUAUAGGAGAUGUGAG